UUCACAUGGAUGCCUCCAAUUCUAGUAUUGUUCCACGGGGUUUAUUUUAGCUACCCUCUUCUCAUUUGUAGUUCCUUUCUCUGACAGAAACCUAGCUCCCAUUGUUUUCAACAUUCAAGUCAUCUAUAAGAGCCAUUCUUCCCAUCACACCAGUUCCCUCUUGCUCCCCUCACCGCACAGGCCUCCAUGAGCCAGCUGAGCAUCCCUGACCCCUGGGCAACGGCCCUGAUGCCAGUGACCGUGUGGUCCACUGCACCUGGUCGAGGACCUUCUUCCAGCCCAUGAGGCACUGCACCAGCAGCCCUGCAGUCAGUCCACCAUGUACCAGGAGAGCACCAAAGAGAAGGAGCUAGGUGCCGAGAGAGAAGCUACACCCACGGCUCCUCCGCACUGCUUGUGAGUCAGCAGUAUCAAGCCACCGCCAUGGCCUCCCAGCUCUCUGCGUUGGGAAAGGCUCUCCAGUUUUAAGGAUGCAUCUGCGUAGAUUGGGUAUCUCCCAAUGAUCCAGGAUAAUCAUCUCCCCAUGUCAAGGUGGCGCAAUGGUUGAGAAACCAUCUGCCAAUGCAGGGGACAUGGGUUCGAUCCCUGUUGCAGGAAGAUCCCGCAUGCCGUGGAGCAACUAAGCCCUUGCACCACAACUAUUGAGCCUGUAUUUUAGAGCCUGUGAGCCACAACUAUUGAGCCCGUGUACUGCAACUACUGA